rnacentral:lncRNA from 9 species
CAAUGCUUAUCCUCCAACUGUCAGACCCUACUAGUGGCACAUCCAUCAGCAGCACAAGAGUUGCAGAUGUCAUAGGAUGGACCCAAGCUGAGGCAGGUGCCUUGUCUCCCUCACUGAGAUAACAAAGAGAAGAGAAGAAAUGGAGGCCUGUUCUCAAAUGGAGGAUUACUACAGCUUAAGGUUAAUGUAGAAGUAAAAGUGAAGGGAGUUCCCUGGUGGUCUAGUGGUUAGGACUCAGUGCUUUCACCCCUAUGGCCCAAGGUCAAUCCUUGGGCUGGGAAAUGAGAUGGCACAUCAAGCCGCUGCCUGCAAAGACCAUACCAAGAUAGGCCAUGAAAAAGAAAAACAUCAAAGUGAAGCUAGAGACAUCAAGUUCAACCCCUUGUCUGAAAAGUUGGGAAGCUGGUCUUCCAAGGUUGUCUGGAUUGGCCUCAAAUCACAUCUGAUGAGCAGCCGCAGCCUCUUCAAGUCCAGCGAUCACUGGCUUCACACAUGUGUCCCCAGUCCUGUCUUUGCAGAAACACAGGAAAAACAAAUAGGAGAGGUAGUCUGCGAUAAUGGCACUUCAGAAAAGAGGAUUUGAUGUCAAGACUGUAAACACCACCAAUUGCCCCAGAUGAAUGCUACAGAAAUGCUGAAGACUUUACUGCAAUUCCUUUUAAAGUCAGAUAUUCUCUUGUGAAAGAUGUUCGAACAAUCUAAUGAUGGAUGUUCAUUAGUUUACUGCUGUCAAGACAAGCUACCACUCCACAUCUCUGAUGCUGAUCAUGUUUUUGCAGCCAUGAUUGAGUUGUUGAAAAACAAACAAACAAACAUACACUCCACAGAGCUCUCUCGACUGUGUCUAAACCAGCACCAACUUGAAAUAUCAUGGGCUUACUCAGCGGCAUCAAAACCCACAAAAGCAAAUAGGUUAGAUCCAUCCCAGAGACUUUUCUGCAGCAGUAAAUGGAUUUGCCCUCUUUAGAGCAGGGAGCACAGUUCCAACACAAUUAUUCUUAUUGGAAUAGACUAAGGAAUUUACUUCAAAUGAGGUUGCUGGUUGUCCUGCAGAAGCUGUAUCAGAAUAAAUAUCCAGCUACUCUUCAGAGGCAUAAUUGGUUCAUUCUCCCCUGAGACAUUUGUGCUCCAGGAACUGUAGAUGGCCAACUAUGUUUAGGUGGAGGAAAAAUUAUUUUACUCAACGGACACGUGUGUCACCCAGGGUGAAGAACGCGUAAGAAGUGCCAUAGCACUGGAAACUGAGCAGGCUUUUCUCCCUGCUAGCCGGACAUGGUCUACGUGGGAACAUCGCCUAAUGGCUUAUUUGUGAGGACGGCCAAGUAAGGAUGGGGUGACAAACAGAAGACAAGAUAACCACUACUAACUCCUUUAGCCCAGAGACCACGCUUAAUUUCUUCGUAUUUGUCAGCCUUGCUGAAUAGAAGUGGACACAUAACCAGAGCCGAGAGGUGUUUCAGCAGCAACCUGACCAACCUUUUGGAUGAGUCUUUUGGAGCAAAAGUACCACAAAUACUAUAAUAACAACUUACGAUUUUUCUGUGUUUAUCUCUACUGGAAAAGAUUUCCAACCACCAGACCUACAGACUGCCUCAUGUCAUAUGGAGUUUCCUAGGUCACGGAUCAGAUUUGAGCCACAGUUGUGACCUACGCCACAGCUGUGGCAAUGCCAGAUCCUUAACCCACUGUGCCUGGCUGGGGAUCGAACCUGUGUCCCAGUGC